AUCACCCCUCCAGCAAAGCUUCCUUUCACCUCCCUGGACAAGGCAUUCUGAGAAACAAGGGACAAGAGUGAAGCUGAUUGCAUAGCCUGGGAGAGACCGAGGGCCCGGCAGCACCCUGCAGCCUGAAAAUCUCACUUCAUGCCUGGUGAGAGUUGCUGAGGUUCAAGCCCAUGUGAUGUGGUGGAUGGAGCGUCCAGUUUUGCUGACACUCUAAUUUAAACCAUAGCCUGUGCCAUGCAAAACACUAACUUUCUCUAGUCUGAGAGCUGCACUGGAUACAGUCCUGAGAAGCCUCUUUGCUCACUCAUGUUUGAUACAGGAGCCCUUUUGGAUCCAGUACUUGCAUAGGGUACAGUCUCUACAGACAAUCCUAUUUGAAGUUUGGCAACCGGAUUACUGUCAGGACUGGACAGAGGGGGACAUAACCUCCUGGAGGUAAGCCAAAGUGCAUAGGCUUUGGGUUUUUUAGGAUUUUACCUUCUUUUCCUGAAUUUACAGAACACAUCUCUCAAGCCAGUGACACAGGUUUUGUACCUGCUAGUGAAUUUUCUGCACACCACUGCUUUGGGCAUGUUUGGUGCCACGCUGGACAAUCACUUUCCUAGGAAGACAGGAUGACAGGUGUCUCCAUAGCAACUGAGUACACAUGGCUCUGGAUACAGUAUCUCACAUAAAUAACUUGCAACUAUGGGUUCCCUAAAAGAAAAUACUCUACAGUUAGAAUUCCACUAAAAUGGAAACUACAAAAUUAUUUACAGUGAAACAAGCUUGAGAAGCAGUCAUGUGAGAAAUAACACUCCAAAUAAUGGUUAGCAUAAAAACUAUGUGACCUAAAUUAUAAUUUCAAAUAUUUCUAAAUGAGAAAGCUUUGGAUAACUCAGAAACUGCAACCACUGAAAAUGCUAACUUUCUAAUGACAAUGACUGUAUGCAAAUGAUCUAAUUACAAACAUCAACACACAAUGCCUUGUUGAAAAACAGGGAGAAACAUUUUGAGCAGCUUAGGAAGAAGAAAAAAAUUACACUUUGAAAAUAUUACUAUGCAUAUGGAAUAAUGAGGCCUCAUAAAAAA